GCCAGCAAUUGUAUCACUCUGCCACUCACCACUGGCAACCCCACUGAAGCUAAGCAGGUGUGAGUCUGGUAAGUACCUGGAUGGGACACCUCCUGGGAAAGCUAAGAUUGCUGCUGGAA
rnacentral:rRNA from 1 species